GGACGAACGCUGGCGGCGUGCCUAAUACAUGCAAGUCGAACGGUCUUUCUAUGGAAGCUUGCUUCCACUGAGAAGAUAGUGGCGAACGGGUGAGUAACACGUGGGUAACCUGCCCAUAAGAGGGGGAUAACAUCCGGAAACGGGUGCUAAUACCGCAUAGUUUUCUUGAUCGCAUGAUUGAGAAAGGAAAGACGGCCUUUGUGCUGUCGCUUAUGGAUGGACCCGCGGCGUAUUAGUUAGUUGGUGAGGUAACGGCUCACCAAGACGAUGAUACGUAGCCGACCUGAGAGGGUGAUCGGCCACAUUGGGACUGAGACACGGCCCAAACUCCUACGGGAGGCAGCAGUAGGGAAUCUUCCGCAAUGGACGAAAGUCUGACGGAGCAACGCCGCGUGAGUGAAGAAAGGUUUUCGGAUCGUAAAACUCUGUUGUCAGAGAAGAACAAGUUGGAGAGUAACUGCUCCAGCCUUGACGGUAUCUGACCAGAAAGCCACGGCUAACUACGUGCCAGCAGCCGC
rnacentral:rRNA from 1 species